AUAGUUUUUGGUGUAUGGCACGUUAAAUUUUGAAUUUAAAGGCAAUGAUUCCAAACAUUAAAAUUAA
rnacentral:tRNA from 1 species